rnacentral:rRNA from 1 species
GAUGAACGCUAGCUACAGGCUUAACACAUGCAAGUCGAGGGACCGGCACACGGGUGAGUAACACGUAACCAACCUGCCCUUUACUCGGGAAUAGCCUUUCGAAAGAACGAUUCAUACCCGAUAUAAAGGAUGGUGAUGCGUUCCAUUAGCUAGUAGGUGGGGUAACAGCUCACCUAGGCGACGAUCCCUAGCUGGUCUGAGAGGAUGACCAGCCACACGGGAACUGAGACACGGUCCAAACUCGUACGUGCGGCAGCAGUGAGGAAUAUUGGUCAAUGGGCGCUAGCCUGAACCAGCCAAGUAGCGUGAAGGAUGAAGGCUUUUGGGUCGUAAACUUCUUUUAUAUAAGAAUAUGUAUUAUAUGAAUAAGGAUCGGCUAACUCCGUGCCAGCAGCCGCGGUAAUAC